GAGUCGCGCAUGAAACACGUUCGCUAUCUACGAUAGUUUGAUUCUUGUGAGACGCCGUAACCGUGACAUCAUCAGAUGCGCCUCUGUCCUCUCUGACUCUGAGCGAUUCCAGAUGGCUCGCUAUUAUAUACAUGCGGAUGCACUGUGUGUAUAAGUCUCAGUAUUGCAAAAGCAAAAAUCUGGAGAAAGUAUCCUGCAUUUGAAAGUAAUUCAUUAGGAUUUAGAGGUUAAAGUUGUUACACUGAAGAUGAGUCGUCGACUUCCUUUCGGCCAGCUCUUCUUGGCAGUUUUACUCGGAUUUACCGGUGGUAUAUAUAUUUAUAGGCCAGUUUUUGAACAGUACCUGUAUAAACAGAAAAAGUUGCAAAGUGAUGUUAAAACUACUGAUGUUGAAAAAGGUAAUGAAUAAAGCAGUUGUCUAA